GGCAAAGAUGAUUGAUGCUUAUUUCUAACACCUCUUGUAUGAGAAUUGACUCUAAUAUUAAAGUCUCUUCUUUGAGAAAAUUUAACAACUUUUCUGAGCU